rnacentral:rRNA from 1 species
GACGAACGCUGGCGGCGUGCUUAGCACAUGCAAGUCGAACGGAAAGGCCCUGCUUUUGUGGGGUGCUCGAGUGGCGAACGGGUGAGUAACACGUGAGUAACCUGCCCUUGACUUUGGGAUAACUUCAGGAAACUGGGGCUAAUACCGGAUAGGAGCUCCUGCUGCAUGGUGGGGGUUGGAAAGUUUCGGCGGUUGGGGAUGGACUCGCGGCUUAUCAGCUUGUUGGUGGGGUAGUGGCUUACCAAGGCUUUGACGGGUAGCCGGCCUGAGAGGGUGACCGGCCACAUUGGGACUGAGAUACGGCACAGACUCCUACGGGAGGCAGCAGUGGGGAAUAUUGCACAAUGGGCGGAAGCCUGAUGCAGCAACGCCGCGUGCGGGAUGACGGCCUUCGGGUUGUAAACCGCUUUCGCCUGUGACGAAGCGUGAGUGACGGUAAUGGGUAAAGAAGCACCGGCUAACUACGUG